UGGACAGAUUAUUGUAUUCGACUGUAUUCACGGUGUGAAAUAGGGGAUUGCACUGUUUUUAAAACGGAAAGUGAAUCAAUUAACAUAAUAGACUCCU
rfam:Nicotiana attenuata strain TT chromosome 3, whole genome shotgun sequence.